GAGAAGGCACUUAAACAUAAAUCAGCCAGAUUUUCUAAGGAUACCAAAAUGUGGGAUUCCAAAGCAUGGGUCUCAAAAGCAACUGAAGCUCUUCUUCCAGGCAGACAUCCUGCUUGUUAGGCCAGCCCAAUGACCAAGACUAACACAGGACAUCAGAUCAUCAGGUUUUUCAAUUGUUCCGAGGGGCCUGAUGAAGUCUUUCACCCUCCUGCUCUGUCCUCCCUGGGAUUCCCCAGUCUUCAUGUCAUUGGCUCCUAACAUCCAACCAGUGACAUCAAGGCUCAAUGAUCCAAGAUCACCUGGAGCUGAUCAUCCUCCUGACAUAUUGUCAGAGGUCAGUGCAUCCAGUGCUACGACACAGUGCCUACAUCUCUCCCCUCACUUCAUCUCAUCAGGUUGACAUUUUAUCAUCUCUCAUCAUCACAAGAAGGGGAUCUGCAUGCCUGAUGAUGCUGAGGGCUGUGGAAACCCAGAGAAGGAGACUAGGGGAAAAUAUUGACAACACUGGUUUUAGAUGUUCCACGAGUCGGCAAUUGUCACAGAAAGGCAGAAGAAACAUCUGAAUUGGAGAUUUUAUGAAGGCUGGUGGGACAAACCACUUCACAUUUCUGUCACUUCUUUAGUGAAAAUUCUACUCCAGAAGCUGAGAAUAUUUGAUGGCUAAAUACAUAGCUGGCCUCUCCCCUUGGAAAUGAUUCACAGAAUGUGGUGGUGGAGAACGAGAAAUGUGGUGCCACUUGACAUGCAAAUACAGUAGUUGAAGUCGUGUCUUAGCAGAGAGCCUUGUGCAAUUCAGAUGACCAAUUUCCGCCACUAUUUUCCAAUUGUUUUGCAUAACAUCAAGCUUAUGCCCUGAAAGAUGCCAAUUAAUAUACAAAAAUGUAAGUUAAUAUUUAAAAAUAUUAUUAUGCAUACACUGCCUUAGUAAUACUAAAAUAAGAGGGUAGAAGAAAGUGCAGUUACUUGCAAAACUGGUGUGCCUUACAUCUGGGAAGUCUCAAGCCACUGAUAAAGACCAGACUACUUUAGAAAGAAUAAUAGCCUGAGGCUGAAAUUUACUCAGGACAUCACAAAUCAAUGACAAGUAAGUUUCUCCUCUAGGUCCCUGACAAAGUAUUUUUCUUUAAUUGAAGGAACAGACUUGGCUUUUCCAGAAAUGAUCUGAUUCUGGAGCUGUCAGAGGAAACCUCUUUCUAAAUACAUCUAUCUGUAAUGAUAGGCUAAAUCAGUUCAUGAGGAACAAGGAGUUUUCUAAAAUAAUUUUUUUUAUUUUCUUAAAGUUAAAAAAGUAAUCUAAUAAUAAAUUAUGAUGGUUUACCUAAAGUAAGUCUUAUUGAAUGUUGUUGUUAUUAUUAUUAUUAUUAUUAUUACUACUACUACUACUACUACUACUACUAUUACUAUUAUUAUUAUUUGCCAGAGUCAAGUCUCUCUUUUCUUUUUUUUCUUUUUUUGAAGCAGGGGAGGUAUUUAGGUUUGUAUUUAUUUAUUUAUUUUAAUGGAGGAAUUGGGGAUUGAAUCCAGGACCUCAUGUGUCCUACGUCUGUGCUUGACCGCUGCGCUAUACCCUUUCCCCCCAGAAUCAAGUUUCUUAUUGCAUGUUGACCCCCUGAGACUUUGGCUCAAUUUCAAACUGUGUAUGCUACCUUUUUUCAUCUUUAAACUGAUUCCCAUUUUUCUUUCUCUAUAUUUCUUCAACACAUGAAAGUAAAAACUACAUGGAUUAUUCUUGUCUUCAAUAAUAUGACAGAAAGCGAAUGGUCUUUGAAAAGGGACAAACUUGUAUUUGAAUCUUAGUUUUGCUGGUUUCCUACUGUGUUGUCUUGAAAAAGUUAUUUAAUCUCUCUGAAUCUCAGUUUUACCUUCUGUAGAAUGGAAAUGAUACUUCCUUUACAAUAUUUGUAAUAAAGAUUCAUGAUGAUAAAGGUAAGUUGAAUGACUUGAUAAGUAUUUAAAAUAUGGUAGGUAUGAUGAUGAUGGUCAUUAGUUCUCGUUGCUUAUAGAUAAUUUUCCUUUAAUAAAGUUUUCUUUUUCUCAUAAUUAAAGGAAUACAUGUUCAUUAUAAAAGACUGGUAAUAUACAUAG